GACAGGACCAUGUGGACGGGCCGUCUGCCCUGACCGCAGCCGCCGUUGAUGUCCACGAGGCCGGAUUCCAGGAGCAGCUUUACGCACGUCAACUGACCGUGGAGACAGGCCACGUGGAGCGCAGACACACCCUGGAGACCGGGAGAGAAGCGUCAGAAACAUAAGAUAAUAAAAAACAACCGCAAUUAGAGCUGCCACCGCGUGUUUCAGGCUGAGGGUCAGCCAUUCGGGGUCCCCAGCCGCCGCCGCUUUGAACUGGUCGUCUUUCGGAAGAGCUCUGAUGAGACUCGUCAAGGGCUCCACGGGUCCGACGGCCGUGAGAGACCCUGAAAAGGGCGAGGAAAAACACAGGCCUGGAAAAAAAAUGCCAAGUAGCGGAGGAAAUAAAAGGACAAAAACACACAACAGCCCCUGCAACAGUGAAUCCAAUCAUAACAAGAAGGAGCCGUUGAUGGCGGACAAUCGACGGAUAAACGCGGCAUCUGUCACACAAAAAGAAUCCUCCUACUUUGGACAAAUAGUCUAAGCUGAAUGGUGGUGUGUAGUGAAAGAAUAUUCUCUUUUUGUAUGUGUUUUGUAUGAAUAAGAAAAGCAGCAUUUUAACAAUGCCGAAGGCAAAGAGGUCAAAUUGUUUUUUAUAUGAUUAGAAACAUCAGCGCUGGUGCAAUAGGCCUACUUGAGUUGAGCGGCGAUUUUCCUCAAUGGGAACCAAAACAUACUUUUGAGAUUUUCUGGAAAGAAGUUCUCCAAAUUGCCCUCCGCCCACUUUCCGAAAUGUGACUAAUCAUAAGCUAACUCGGGGGCUAACGGCAAGGCUGUUGGACUGCUAAUUAUGGGAUGUCAGGAAUAAGCCUGCAGUAAUAAAAA